rnacentral:rRNA from 1 species
GACGAACGCUGGCGGCGUGCUUAAUACAUGCAAGUCAACGACUUUUAAGAUAGCAAAUAUUUUAAGGGGAGUGGCGCACGGGUGAGUAACACGUAGGCAAUCUACCUUUAGGACUGACACAAACUCGUCGAAAGACGGGCUAAUAUCAGAUAAUGCAGCGGCUCCGCAUGGAGACAGUUGUUAAAGUACAAGCGCCUGAAGAUGAGCCUGCGGUCCAUUAGCUAGUUGGUAGAGUAACGGCCUACCAAGGCAACGAUGGAUAGCUGGUCUGAGAGGAUGAUCAGCCACACUGGAACUGAGACACGGUCCAGACUCCUACGGGAGGCAGCAGUAAGG